rnacentral:pre_miRNA from 1 species
UUUUAAAUGUAAGUAUGUCCCAUGCCAUACUGGGGACAUAGUUAUACUAAAA